rnacentral:misc_RNA from 1 species
UGGCUCUCGCAACGAUGAAGAACGCAGCGAAAUGCGAUAAGUAAUGUGAAUUGCAGAAUUCAGUGAAUCAUCGAAUCUUUGAACGCACCUUGCGCCUUUUGGUAUUCCGAAAGGCACACCUGUUUGAGUGUCAUGAAUCUCUCAACCCAACAAUUUUUAAUUGUGUGUGGCUUGGAUGAUGAGUGUUGCUGAGACUUCAGCUCGCUUCAAAUGUAUUAGCCCUCUCCUCUAUACUUGGAUUGACUUGGCGUGAUAAUUAUUCGUCAAGGAUGCUUUCAAUAGCAGCCAAACAUAGUGGGGUAGCUUCAAACCUGCCUUUGUGCAUCAUUACUUUAGACCUCAAAUCAGGUGGGACUACCCGCUGA